GUUUAAGAUUCAUACCAGCCGUCAAUAAUGAAUUCAAAAAUCAAACUACAGAUUAUUUGCAGCGAGCAAAACAUUGGUAAUCAGCGUCAUCAUGUGCUAAACUUCACAAGUUUCGCCAAUCUCAUGUCGCCAAACAAACACAACCAGGGAGGAGUGUCUGUCUUUCUCCUUCAGAUUUUUAAGAUUUUUCUUCUCAGACCUCAGUCGUUGAACUCGUGAGGGUUGUCGUUUAUGCAGAGACUUCCAGGAAUUAGCGGUUCACAGUCACCAGAAGCUAAAGUGGCUGUCAUGUUGGAAGAUCUACCGUUUCAAAAAAAGUGUUGACUGAGAAAAAAACGUGAUUAGUGG
rnacentral:sRNA from 1 species